GAUGAACGCUGGCGGCGUGCCUAAUACAUGCAAGUCGAGCGAACGGACGAGAAGCUUGCUUCUCUGAUGUUAGCGGCGGACGGGUGAGUAACACGUGGAUAACCUACCUAUAAGACUGGGAUAACUUCGGGAAACCGGAGCUAAUACCGGAUAAUAUUUUGAACCGCAUGGUUCAAAAGUGAAAGACGGUCUUGCUGUCACUUAUAGAUGGAUCCGCGCUGCAUUAGCUAGUUGGUAAGGUAACGGCUUACCAAGGCAACGAUGCAUAGCCGACCUGAAAGGGGGGUCGCCCACACUGGAACGGAGACACCGUCCAGACUCCUACGGGAGGCCGCAGUAGGGAAUCUUACGCAAUGGGCGAAAGCCUGACGGAGCAACGCCGCGUGAGAGAUGAAGGUCUUCGGAUCGUAAAACUCUGUUAUUAGGGAAGAACAUAUGUGUAAGUAACUGUGCACAUCUUGACGGUACCUAAUCAGAAAGCCACGGCUAACUACGUG
rnacentral:rRNA from 1 species